UCUGCGGGAAGGGGCUGCACCUAAGGGGUCGGGAGGCACGGCCUCCACCGGGAACCCUGGCCCGGUUUUGGGCCUGGCCUCAUUCUACCACCUGCACCACCCGCACCCCUCCCCCGCUCUUCCGCACGUUCAUUCCCCCCGCAGCGCCGCCUCCGCCUCCGCCUCCCAAGUUCACACUCCACCUCCUUGCACACGGGACCUCCUCCAGGCCGGGCCAUGCUGGGCAUGUCUGUAAGUAGCCCCAGACACUCUGAAUGCGGCGCAGGCCAGUUCAGGGCUCUGGGAACUCACCGCUCUCAGCUUAACGGGAGCUACCUCUGGGAGCACCACAGUGGCUCCUCCAAGGGAUGUAAAAACCUCUUCUCCCUUUCUAGACUCAGGACAGCUCUGUGCUCCAGCCAGUUCCCCUUCCUCUGAGAUUGCGGGGUCCUCCUGCUUUUACAGGUCUGUGUUACCCCGAUUUCUGCCCCCACUCACGCUACACUUUUCCCAGCAGUCAAUUGCACCUACACCCAACUUCGAAAGAGGACCGCAGCUACCUCCGUUUUGACCUCCAACUUUCUGAUUAAGUUCUUUCUAGCUUAUCUCUGAACUCAGGCCACUGAACCUAUCCCCUCAAGCAAUAGGGACUGCCCCAAUGCCAGCAAGACUCCAUAUGAUGGACCUCAAGACAAUGGUUGGUGUGACCUUAGCCGCCUAUCUGCAGUUCUCACCGACCUUCCACAUUUCCCUUCUAUCAACCUGGAAGUAUUUUUGGCACCUUGAAACAUUAGUCUGCUGCCUUCCCAACGUUGGCCUCACUGAAAUAAAUUCCUUUCUGGCUUCACCACCACUCCUCUCUGUCUUUGGAUUUUGUCAGCUGUGAAUGGCCAAACCUGGUCUGUUUGGAAGCCUCGGGGCGAAGUGUCCUUGCACCCCUGCGCCUCUGGCUACACUUCAAGUUUACGUAAUCAGCUGAAUCUGUAAAUCCAGACGUGCUUCAGAAAACCCACAUUUUGGACUUUUUUCAAGGAGAGAGGGAAGAUGAGAAGGUCGGGAGACAGCUACACAUCUUAAGAAGGAGACUCUGCAGAGCUUAGGGAAGGUGGUUAACGUUACUUGGUGAUCAGAAGUGGGAUGCAAGGAAGACCCCCAAUAACUCUGAGGCUGGUGAACAAACACCGGCACCCACAGAGCCAACUGGGCCCCUGCUGCCUUCUGGCUGACCGUGCGGUUUGGGGCAAUUCCGAGCGGGAAUGCUAGCCACCGUGACGCUGGAAACCGCCCCAGCUGUGUCUCCUGUCCCCUGGCUGCUUUGAAUGCCCCGGCUCCGGAGGGUUCUUUCCGCCUCCUUCAGAUGCAACCUGCUGUGGGAAAGUGGGAAGCGGAAACCCCGAUUGACUGGCAGAUUCCUGAAAAAAACAGAAAUAGCUGCGUUUGCCUGGAAAUGACUAAUAUUUGUGGGUGGCUGAUGGGUUUUAUUGUUUUAAUAACUAUUAGGAGUAAUAGAUACUCAAAAAAGAGGACAAGUUUUGUAACAGAAAAAUAAAGUUACAUUUUGUUUUACCAAACCUAGAUCUUGGCCUGUGAAAGGCAGAUCAGCUACAAAUAUUUGUAAAAAUCGAUUGCAUAUAAGAAACCUUAAUAAAUUCCAAAAAUCAGAAAUUGCAAUGACUAUAUUCCAUAGCUACAUUGUAACCAAUAAAUAUGUCAAAGCAAAACAAGAAAACCCAGCCACUUGGAAAUCAUAAAAGGGGCGGGGAAUUAUUCUAAACAGCACUAGAGUCGUAGAGAAAUCAAGAUCAGAAUACCAGAAUCUUUAGAAAAAGAUUAAAUAAGAAAACACCGCAUAUUGAUGAUCAGGUAUAUGGACAAAGCUGUGUCUUCUGAUAUAAACUCACAGCUUUAAAUGCUUUUGUCAGCUGAGACAAAGAGAAUUUAAUCAACUGAAUACUCCACUUAGAAUUUUAGAAAAACAAAAUCUUUUUUUAAAAAAAAGAUUUUUACUUAUUUAUUUGAGAGGGAGACAGAUCGAGCGUGAGUCGGGGAGGAGGAGCAGAGUGAAAAGGAGAAGCAGACCCCUUGGGCAGGGAGCCCAAUGCAGAGCUCAGUCUCAGGACGCUAGGAUCAUGACUUGAGCUGAAGGCAGACGCUUAACAGACUGAGCCACCCAGGCGCCCCGAAAAACAACAAAUCCUUAAGAUAGGAGUAAAGAAAUAACUGCAGAGAUAAAUUAAUUAGAAAAAUUAAUUAGUUAUUUUUAAAAAACGAAUACACAAAUAACACUAAGAGAAAAUGCAAACUGUACAUCUCUUACUUAACUUGUCCUUCAGAAAUUACUUAGCCAUCUGUCUGAGCAGCAGGCCCUUCCUUCCCCCCAAUUUGCCCACCGUGCCCCUUUAAGGAGAGUCACUAUACACCCUCCCUCGUAGGUUAGAGCCCACUGCCACAUGAUCUGACAUAAUCUUCAAAAUCCUGAAGUUCCCACAACUACAUGGCCAGGAGGAGAUUGGGAAUGUCCCUUUUGAGGAUGAGAGCAGGUUGAUACAAGUCACUGACCAGUUGUAACGUGCUUAUAUUCGUGUGUGUGUGUGUGUGUACAAGUGUAAGGCUGUGCAUAGGUAUGUGUGUUCAGGUAUGGGUGUACAAGUGUGGGGGGUGUACAAGUGUGGGAGUAUCUUGUUUUCUUUUGGUCCUUGAAUUACUCUGAAUUGUGGAAUUCAGAUGGUCUCUAAGUGUCUAAUCCCAACACAGAAGUACAUUUUUAUAUGCUCUGCAACCACUGAUAGACAUGUAUUAUACACUAAGGAUUUUAAUGAAUUCAAAUUGUGCACCCCAAAAGAACAACCAGAAGGUAACCGCUUUGAUUUUCUUGUCCACCUGUAUCAAUCAUCUGUAAUAACAGCACCAUAUACCAGGGACUCAGUGCCAAACGAUCAUCAUCUCAGUUGACCUUUCAUUACGUAGGACGUGUUAUGAUUAUUCCCAUCAAGAGCUAGCGAGGGCUCAGAAGGGUUAAAGUGAUUCGCCCUGCAUCACACACCUAUCUCAGUGCUGAUCCACGGGGAGGUUUGUAUGGCUCCCAAGAUACUGGUCUUAUCAUUAUGCUAUAAAAAGUAUAAUAAGUUUUUUUUAUGAUAAAAGUAUUUUAAAAAUUAUUUUUGAAGUAUUUUUUCCUUGGAGCAUUAAAAAGUAUUUUUUCUUCAUUCUUAUUGUAUACAUAUAAAAAAUAGUAUGUACA